UACAGAGGGUGCAAGCGUUGUUCGGAAUUACUGGGCGUAAAGCGCACGUAGGCGGAUAUUUAAGUCGAAUGUGAAAUCCCCGGGCUCAACCUGGGAACUGCAUUUGUGACUGCACGGCUAGAGUGUGUCAGAGGGGGGUAGAAUUCCACGUGUAGCAGUGAAAUGCGUAGAUAUGUGGAGGAAUACCGAUGGCGAAGGCAGCCCCCUGGGAUAACACUGACGCUCAUGCACGAAAGCGUGGGGAGCAAACAGG
rnacentral:rRNA from 1 species